rnacentral:rRNA from 5 species
UACGAAGGGGGCUAGCGUUGUUCGGAAUUACUGGGCGUAAAGCGCACGUAGGCGGACUAUUAAGUCAGGGGUGAAAUCCCGGGGCUCAACCCCGGAACUGCCUUUGAUACUGGUAGUCUCGAGUCCGGAAGAGGUGAGUGGAAUUCCGAGUGUAGAGGUGAAAUUCGUAGAUAUUCGGAGGAACACCAGUGGCGAAGGCGGCUCACUGGUCCGGUACUGACGCUGAGGUGCGAAAGCGUGGGGAGCAAACAGG